UGUAACACACCACGUCUAAAGCCACCUCCCCUCCACCCAGGCACUGGAAAACCACCCAGGUGCUCUUCCUCUUUGUGGUGCUCAUUUUUGGGUGCUGGCGCCCCAAAUCCUCUCUGUUUCUGGACAUCCAUGGACAUAUUUUGGAUCCUUCAUCUCACCAUGCUCAUCGUCCUCCACCAAACCAGGGCACUGGAUCUUCAUCACUCUUCUCUCCUUCUCUGCUCAAGCUUCUCAUGGGAUCACAGCUGCUUUAACAUCUGCUUGCUUUGGCAUGGAGGCUUCUGCUCGAUAUCUGCAAUUUGAGCGCUUUUGCCUCCCUAUUCCUUCACGCGUUGCAGGGGAAAAAGAGCCUUUCUCCAUAGCUUACAAGAGGAUUUCAGCCCAAAACUAAAGGCAUGUACGAGACGAGCACCGUAAGAGGCGAGCCCAUCAUGGCAGCUCCAGCCAGUGAGAGGUGAGAGAACUGAGGAGAAUCCCCCAAAACCUGCAGCCAACCCCUCUCCAUCCCCUCUUUUGUAGUGAGUCCAGAGUUUCAAGGUUCCCUUCCCUG